rnacentral:rRNA from 1 species
UACAGAGGUCUCAAGCGUUGUUCGGAUUCAUUGGGCGUAAAGGGUGCGUAGGUGGCGCGGUAAGUCGGGUGUGAAAUUUCGGAGCUUAACUCCGAAACUGCAUUCGAUACUGCCGUGCUUGAGGACUGGAGAGGAGACUGGAAUUUACGGUGUAGCAGUGAAAUGCGUAGAGAUCGUAAGGAAGACCAGUGGCGAAGGCGGGUCUCUGGACAGUUCCUGAGACUGAGGCACGAAGGCCAGGGGAGCAAACGGG